rnacentral:misc_RNA from 1 species
CUACGGAGUACACCUAGUUAUGGAAAACAUAUUCGUAUUCAGUUUUGAGAGAUCUAUCUCUCUUUUGUUCUUUGAAAACUGAAUAUCGACAUUGAAAAAUUAUAUUAAUUAAUAUUUCAAAGUUUAGAUCAACCUAUAGAAUAUAUAU